rnacentral:rRNA from 1 species
AUUGAACGCUGGCGGCAGGCCUAACACAUGCAAGUCGAGCGAGCGGCGGACGGGGGGGUAAUGUCUGGGAAACUGCCUGAUGGAGGGGGGUAACUACUGGAAACGGUAGCUAAUACCGCAUACCAUCGGAUGUGCCCAAAUGGGAUUAGCUGGUAGGUGGGGUAAUGGCUCACCAAGGCGACGAUCCCUAGCCGGUCUGAGAGGAUGACCAGCCACACUGGAACUGAGACACGGUCCAGACUCCUACGGGAGGCAGCAGUGGGGAAUAUUGCACAAUGGGCGCAAGCCUGAUGCAGCCAUGCCGCGUGUGUGAAGAAGGCCUUCGGGUUGUAAAGCACUUUUAGCGGGGAGGCGUUACCCGCAGAAGAAGCACCGGCUAACUCCGUGCCAGCAGCCGCGGUAAUUC